AUUGAACGCUGGCGGCAGGCCUAACACAUGCAAGUCGAGCGGCUGAAGAGAGCUUGCUCCUGGAUUCAGCGGCGGACGGGUGAGUAAUGCCUAGGAAUCUGCCUGGUAGUGGGUGAUAACGUCCUGAAACGGGCGCUAAUACCGCAUACGUCCUGACGGCGAAAGUGGGAGAUCUUCGGACCUCACGCUAUCAGAUGAGCCUAGGUCGGAUUAGCUAGUUGGUGGGGUAAAGGCCUACCAAGGCGACGAUCCGUAACUGGUCUGAGAGGAUGAUCAGUCACACUGGAACUGAGACACGGUCCAGACUCCUACGGGAGGCAGCAGUGGGGAAUAUUGGACAAUGGGCGAAAGCCUGAUCCAGCCAUGCCGCGUGUGUGAAGAAGGUCUUCGGAUUGUAAAGCACUUUAAGUUGGGAGGAAGGGCAGUAAGUUAAUACCUUGCUGUUUUGACGUUACCAACAGAAUAAGCACCGGCUAACUUCGUG
rnacentral:rRNA from 1 species